rnacentral:sRNA from 1 species
AGUGAACUUCGUUUGAAGUGAAAUCCUUUUAUGGCUUUUUCUGCCAUAAAAGAUUGGAACGGAAAGCCCGACCUGAA